GGUUCCACAGUGUAAUGGUGAGCACUCUGGACUCUGAAUCCAGAAUAUAUUUUUAAAUAUUUAAAACUU
rnacentral:tRNA from 1 species